GACGAACGCUGGCGGCGUGCCUAACACAUGCAAGUCAACUUGACUGAAGGAGCAAUCUGACAGUAGAGUGGCGCAAGGGUGCGUAACGCGUAAGUAACUUGCCCCAAGGUAAGGAAUAACGUCGAGAAAUCGGCGCUAAUACCUCAUAAUGCAGCGGAUCCGCAUGGAUAUGUUGUUAAAGGUUUACCGCCUUGGGAUAGGCUUGCGUCUGAUUAGCUAGUUGGUGUGGUAACGGCACACCAAGGCUACGAUUAGUAACUGGUCUGAGAGGAUGAUCAGUCACACUGGAACUGAGACACGGUCCAGACUCCUACGGGAGGCAGCAGUGAGGAAUAUUGGGCAAUGCUCGAAAGAGUGACCCAGCAACGCCGCGUGGAGGAUGAAGGUAUUCUAUAUCGUAAACUCCUGUGAGAGCAGACGAAGACAGAUUAUUAAUCUGGAUGACUGUAUGCUCAGAGGAAGCCCCGGCUAACUACGU
rnacentral:rRNA from 1 species